AUUUCCAGCUGUGAAAUGGGGAGGAAUGUCCCGAACCUGGCAGAGAGGCAGGCUCGGGGGGCUGUGAUCUUGGUGGAAAAGCCACCCCAGCCAGGGUGUCACCGUGUGUCCCCUGCAGGUUCCGGGGCUGGCUGGUCCGGAGGGUCUGCGGAUUCCUGGCAGCCUGGGAGUGGAAAAUUCCAGCAGAGAGCCCCGAGGAGCUCCUGGUGCGGAUCUGCAGCAGCAGGAGGGUGCAGGAUGCUGCCUCCGGCCGGGAGCCUGGCCCCGGAGGGGAUGAGGGAUCCCAGCGGCGCUGGAAGGAGUCGAUCUGCCAGAUCCUGGGGGAAAUCCAGGCCCCGCUCUCCCCUCUGCUGCUGAGGCUGUGCCACUGGCUGCUCCCCAAGCUCCUGACCCGUCUGUUCCUGGGCGUGCAGCUGCACCGAGGGCAGCUGGAGAUGGUGCUGCGAGCUGCCAGGACGGUAGGGAGCCCGGCCGGGCACUCCCAGCCCCUGGAACGCCGGGAAUUCAGCCCAGGAUCCCUCACUUGCAGCCCGAGGUGCCGCUGGUGUUCCUGUGCAGCCACCAGUCCCCGGUGGAUGGGCUGCUGCUGUCCUUCGUCCUCCUGUCCCAGGGCAUCGGGCUGCCCAGGGUGACCAUGGGCGCCGGGACCAGCCCCCGUCUGCGGUGAGGCAGCGCCCUGGGAUGCUCCCAGAGCAUCCAGGGGAUGCAGGGGUUGCCCACGGUGUCCUUCCCUCGCCAGAUCCCAGCUCCAACGCUUGGGAGGGAUUUUCCUGCCUUCAGGAGUGGCGCCGACAUGGAGCGACC
rnacentral:lncRNA from 1 species